CAUAUAGUAGCACUCAGAGUAGGAUUCAAUAAAGCACUCAUCCAAUAAAUUCAUAUCACCGGAGGUCACAGAGGAAGAUCAAUCUAGCAACACCAAAGUACACUUUAAUUUUAGGCAACAGACCAAAACUGCAACCAGUGAUGUACUCAUUAGACCUACAUAGCUGAGCGCAAGACAUAACCAGUGUUCAAGAACUUCAUACAGACGCAGUACAGUAAAGGCAACACAACAGCAUUUUACUUCCGGAGACAGGGACCAUAGCUGCUCAGCGCAGCCUCCUGGCCUCACGCUCGGACUCAAGAAGGGUGAGGAUGUCGCCCUCACGGAUGGGCCCCUUGACGUUCCUCAUGAUGAGACGGUUCUGGUCAUCCAGGAACUUCACUCUGACCUGGGUCACCUGACCCCUGGAGCCGGUGCGGCCCAUCACCUUGACCACGACAGCAAGCUUGACCUGCGUGUCCAUGCUGUGCAAGCAGAAGGGGGUGUAUUAGGCAAAGCACUGAGUGCAAUCAGAAGCAACUAAUGUAUUAAUUGCAUUAAUCAUAUGUUCAGAACUUCUUCAAAGUUCAAACUGCACAGGCAGUACCACUAGUUAAAAUUCUGAGUUUAGCACAAAACCAUGUCUACUUUUGCAUGUCUGUUGCCAAAUUGGCAGAUGAGUUUUCUUAACAAUAUAGUUAGACAUCAAGCAGUCAACAGUCGGAAUUUCAUCAAGAAACUCUACAAACUGAUGGCUCUGAACUAUAGCUCUAAUGUUGGCUGGUAGCCUUGUGUCAUGUAUACACAUAAUAAACCUCUUGUCCUGUGUACACAAAAUAAACCCCGACUGAUGCUACAAAAUACAACGAAGGAUGCUACGAAUCUGAACGUAAUAAUUUGAGGCUUAUUUGAGAUCUAAAUGCAAUUCCUCAUAUAAGCAAAACAUAAGAGAUUAAGCUACAUAACCCAGCAUUUUACAGGCAGACAGUACAAGAAACAUCCCUGAGAUCUAAACAGCAAUUCCUCAUAUAAGCAAAACAUAAGAGAUUAAGCUACAUAACCCAGCAUUUUACAGGCAGACAGUACAAGAAACAUCCCUGCAGAUGAGCGGAUCAUCAGUACGCCACUAAAUACAGACUGGGGUUUCUUACCCCUGCAGGUGAGCGGAUCAUCAAUACGCCACUAAAUCCACCUGGACUGGUUCUUCAACACCCACGUCUGUCGACCCCCUAACCCCACCCCGCCGCCAUCUCCAACUAUAUUCUUCAAACGUAUCUUGAGACUACAAGAGAUCCACCAUAAAAAACGCCAGUCAUGGCUCCACCGCCGCCUUCCCUGUUCCUCUUGUAAGGCUUUGUGCGUACUGACCUCAACAACGACACAGCAGGCGCUUGUCCUGUCCUCUGGAGUCCAGCUGGUGGUCAGGAUCGACGAGGACGAUGAUGGCGACGGCGAUUUGGUGGUGCAGGGCAUGCUGCUCGAAGCAGAACCUGAUUGUUCUCAAAUCGACCUUCCCACAUAAUCUUAAUUCGCGAGAUCUAGCCUAUCUACGACCCCAUCGACAGGUCGCUCCGCACGAUCCACUCCCUGCCUCGCAAGUACCGCGUGAUCACAGGACCCGUAAUCUCGCCGCGCGCCGUCACGACGCGGUCAGAUUCUACGCACUGAUUCUGGAGAUGGAAGCAUUCUUCUCCGACCAAGGAGAAGGCCUACAGCACGAGGAUUCGACGGAAGCCCCCAUCCAGAUCCGGCUCACGCGUAAACACGACACUGGAGAACACACGGAACGAUCGAGCCCGCAUGAGAAGGGGAGGGGAGGGACAAGGAGACGAACCUUUCUUCGGCUGUUGGCGACGGCGGUUGCUGCUGCUGCAGGGACGACGGAGCCGGCGGCGCGAAGAGGGCUGAGAGGAAGAGAUGCUAAAACCCUAGCGCUCUUAUAUUAUUAUCUAUAGCUAGCGCCGCCGGCGGGCUUGGGGCCGUGGUCUUAAUUGAGUUGAUGGGCUAUUGGGCCUCAAACACAAAGUUGCUUAUAUUAAGGGCCUGCUGGGAUUUCUUUUUUGUCUUUUAUCACUUUUUUACUCCUGCCAUAAGAAAAGCACCGUAGGCUUUAAAUUCUCCAAAAAUACAAUAUUAGUGUCCAAAAGGUUCUUCUUCACAUUUAUAUUUUGAGUACAUAGCAGAAUGUCCGUGCGCUGUCACGGUCCAGGCAAAUCAUUUUUGGGUCUUCUUUUUUUUUCUCUCCUUAUUUUUAACUCUUGGGUCACACCUGUUCUUCCUCUUGGGCCAGCUACUCGGAGAGCGUCCAGCCCAUGCCCGCACAAGCGCUCGUGCCCGUCUUCCUCCUCGUGCCUAGGGAUGCCAAUCGCAGCGGCCGGUCGCCAGCCGUGAACUCCGCCCGCCAGAAAACGUGUUUAUUGGCCCGUGCGGCCCACUGUUUUAACUUUGUUCGGCUAAGUGGACAGACUCUGUGCGGCUCGAAACAUCCGCUUCGCCCGCGAAACAAUCGACCGUAUCUUUUUCCCUGAAUCCUCGUUCGCAGUUCCGCCGCUCCUUCGCCCAAUCCCGUCACGGUGGUGCCGGCCUGCCACCCGUUGACCCGCACACCCCUGCACGGCAGUGGCGCCACCACCACGAAGGCAUGAAGAGCCAGCAGACCACGCGCUGCCGAAGCGGACGGAGCCAUGCCGGCAGCCGCGCCCCACACGGAGAUCCGGCUAAGAGGACCAUGGAUCCGUUCUCCCUGGCAGCCACAACUCCGGCAAGUUGCCGCAACGGCCGUGGCUCUUAUUCGAAUUGCUUUUCGCACUUGAAUUCACAUAUAUUUGCAUUCUUCUCCAUUGUGUUGCUGUGUGCAUGCGGCUGAGCGGCUGAGCCGCAGCGCUGCUGGACCGCCUUGUGUGUACUUGCGGCAUUCGCGGCAGCCCGCGUAGCCUUUUGCGGCCGAAGCGGACAGUCCCGCGUAGCCCAUUGGGGGGCCGCUGGCUCCCUAACUCGUGCCAAAAGCAGCACACACGGGCGAGAGCCGCCGCAAUCUCCGCCCUCGACGAUGCCUCCUCAGCCCGUGACCCAUCCAGGUGCUCUGAACCGUAUUCCAGGGCACUUCCCUUCCUUUCCCCAUCCUCAAUCAUCCUCCAUUAUCAUGGCUGAACCGCCUUAGCGCACGUUGUCGUAGCGGUUCCCGUUGGCCCAAAUCAACACGCCGGGGAUGAGGGCUGAGAGAACGAACCCGUUCCCCUGUUUUCUUUGCAGGCAGAGCCGCCGGCUCUCGGAUGGAAGGAAGCACCGCAUGCGGGACCAUAUGCUGCAUCGCAGGAUCAAUCUGCUGUUGCACCUACGGAUAACGAGCAUCACCAAAGCAGGAGAGCAAGAUCGAAUGUGUGAAGAGAUACCUUGGUCUUUUAAUUGUGUUUUCUCCGCUGCGUUAGGGGAAUUAUUUAUGUUGGAUUAGGAAGGGUCUCCUAUUAGGCUGCGCCAGGAGAGGGGAGCUCGGCUGUCUGGAGCGGACGGAGGAGUGGUUUGCGUGCGGGCGGAUGAGUUAGGUCUCGGGAGCUUGAUGAAAAAAAGGGAGGAAAAGAGUUUGGAACGGUCCGUGUUUUUUACAUUGGUAUAGAUAUAGAUAGAUUCGGUGCAGUUAAUGGGCCAGCCGGCUUAGUAGGACUAAUAUACAUGCAAUCCUGAGGGUCCACAAAUUUUAUGAGAUAUAUAGAUAGAUUCGGUGUAGAUAAUGAGCCAGUCGUAUUAGUAGGCCUAAUAUACAUGCAAUUUUGAGGGCCACAAAUUUUAUGAGAAGUUUGACAGACGAUGGUGAAGAGAAUGGUCUGUAUUUUUUAGAUAGGUAUCUAUUACAAUAUAUUAAAUUAGAAUCGGUGGUGAUGGGUGGGCGCCGUUGGUCGGUGUUGGUCGGUCAACUUCGUUAAAAUUAUAAUCAAUAUGCCACUGCCUCUUAUUUUCUUUCCCUCUCGCCUUAUUCACGAUUUCAGUAGCAGAAAUUCUACGAUUUAGAUUUACCGAAAGUUAUCGUACGGUUCAAAUUUGUCACAACAUAAUACGAACAGUCCUAAAAUAAAUCAAUCUCCUUAGCAUGAAAUCCAAAAUUCUUCGUAUCCAUCUCAGUAUGGAAAUCAAUCCGAACCCAAACAAAAAAUCUCGGUAUCAAUCCAAUCGAAAAAUCAAUGUCCAGACUUCGCUUCCACCGGCUCGUAUUUGAUACACUUUCCGUUGUUUCGUAGCAUCGCACGGGUUCUUUUGCUAGUAGAUAUAGAUAUAGAUUGCAUUGACGUUGCAAAUACAUACUGUAUAAUUCAGGUAACGUAAGCAUCGCGUCAGUAAAAAAUCAGUUUAUAAUACUGUAAUACAAUCUCACAAGCAUCUCAUGGGCACAAAUUAAAAUGCUACCCUGUCCCAUCAGAGGCCAGUAUCUGUACGUCGUCCUACUCUGAACGUGUCGGCCUCAAACUUCCAAUGCUGAGCCCGAGCAGCAGCAUGAAACACCAGAUCCCAUUGCAAAAGUUAAAAAUACCGGAAAGAAUCGCAGGACCUGGGAUUCAGAACUAAGAUGAUCCUCUUAACAAUGUCCAUAGGUUGGUGUGUUUAUUGCCUGAAACAUUCAGGUUGGUAUGUUUAGACAAGAACCUGAAACUGAUCUGAAUUUUACUUUUAAAUCCUCUUAACAAUGUCACAAGCGUUUCAUUGGCACGAAACAGAGCUCGAUUGUUCUUGUCAGGGCUCAAUACAAAACCACUCUCGGAAAAACUAAUUGAGCAGAACAAAACAGGAAAAAAAAACACUGUGUUGACGGAUGAACAGGUAAGCAAGAAGAAGAGGUGAACAGGGGAUCUCUGCUCCUCGAAAAAGAAAGAAAAAGAAAACAGGGAGCUCGAUCGAUCAUGCGUCUCCAUCGCUAUCGCUAUCGCUCUCGUCCAGGAUGGAUUGGAGGUAGGCCGAGUGAUUGACGGCCUCGACGAAGCCCUUGGAUUCGUACUCGCGGCGAACCCAGGCCUGGAACUCGAGGUGGUACUCCCACAAGAGGUCCAUGGCGGCGGCCGUCCUCGCUGACUGGAUGAACCCCGGCGGCGGCGUCGGCUUCGUGUUCCUCGCCAGGAUCCAGUCGAUCUUAGCCUGCGGCAUCCUCGCCAGCUUCCCGCUCGUGGCCGCCGUAGUCCGAGCACCGGAAUUGGCCUCCCCGCCGGAGCAAUCCUUCGCCUUGGGCUUGGACAUCACCCCAUCUGCCUCUGCCUUCUGCUGGCACGGCUGCGACGCACUCUCCAUGCCUUAGAAGUUACCCGGCGUGGAGUAGAACCUUAGAUCUGGGCUUGAUUCGGGCGGCAGCGUCGCGUAAAUAACAGGCAGCCGAACCUGCUAUGGUACUUGGCUAGAUGGCUUUUCUCCGGUCGGGCUCGGGCUCGGGCUCCGGUUCCUGCUCGGCCGUCGCAACUUGCUGAGUUCUGGUCGGAGUCGGACACCCUUUUUUUUUUCAUGUCGAGAAAGAUUUCCGACCAGUACUCCGUCCAACAAAAUACAUGUAAAUUUGGUUAAAAUUGAGAACUUUUUUGUUGAACGGAGGGAGUACGUCAAAAUCUUGGACGCCCACAUGUAUGGUUCUCAUCCUGCCAAGAGCCUGCACAGGGAGAAGGCACCCGACGAACUUAUGUUUUUUUUUUAUAGAAUGACGUGUAACUUUAUUCAGAAGUCGAUAACCAUUACGGAUAGAAAAUAUGGAUCAUAUACCCUAAAGAUUACAAGAUAAUUCAUAUAACGAAUACGGAGUCGGAACGGAUAUUGUCCGGAUACGGAUACAAAUAUGGAAUGAAUACGCAGCAGACAUGGUUCCGUAAUCAGAAUAAUCUGCCUUGCCGGCCAUCCUCGAAGCUUGAGCUCGUCGUCAUCGAGGCGCUUCCCGGCAGCUCCACCAUCCCCUUCCACGGAUCCGGCGGCUGCAAGUCCAGAUCGGUGGGAGCCUCAACCCGUGCGCUUCCACCCCAGGCCCGCCGUCCCGCCUACAACCGCUCCAACACCGGAGGCGGCCGCCCUGCGUGGCCUGUGCUGCUCAGCUAGCCCGGGCAGAUCCGGCGCGCCCGCCUUGGCCCCCAUGCCCGAUCUAGAUUCUUGCCACUGGUGGACUUCACUGCCAUCUCCAACGCCGGUAUCGUCCUCUUCAAUUUUGCUGCCCUCCACUCCACCAAGCCCAUCCCUUCUUAGUUUGCAACAUUUAUUCUGAUGCUCACAUUGGUUAGAGUGAUGUUGUAUACUCCUCUUUUCUCUCCUCGUUCCUCCCUCCGUCGGUUGUGGUUCAACCACGCAUGCUUUCGGUAACCAUGGUUUGCAGAUGGCAACUUUGGUGGAGGCACUGUUUAGCCUAACGGCUGGUGCCGUGGUUGGAUUUGGAGAUCUCUAUACAACCUGGUUUCUGUUCCAGGAUCCAUGGAGUUGCAGAUGGCGGCCAUGGAGGCGACACCCUCCUGAUGGAGAUGGUCGUGAUAGAGUGUGUGUGUGCCGCUAAAUGUCGAUCCGAGUUCCAUCCACCUCCAUUUAGCUACUCCAAAUCUCCAACAAACUUUUGCUCGGUAGCCUUGUUGUCAUCUUAUGUCGUCGUAUGUGCCCUUCUUCUAAACUCCUCCACUGGACUCCCCUUUGGGGAGAUACCUUUCACUAGUGGCACUCUUGGAAAGUAUGUGACCAUCCUGUCGCUCUUCUCCUCCUCUCGGAAAAACCACCCUCCGAUGGAGGAUUUGUGCGACAUUUAUGCGUGCUCGAUGAGCCCCGCCGUCUAUUGUUUUCCCCAAUGAUGGCAUCGGUGCGGCUUCCUGGUGAUGAUGCUUCGGUUUUCUCGGAUUAGUUUCCAAGCUUUGGUUUGAGCUCUCUGGUUAUGAUCCCCCCGCAUUCUGGUACUGUCUAUGACAGUCCUCCUCCUAUUGCUUGUGAUACCCCGUUCGUUGACUAUAACAUUGUCGUGGUGGUGUCACGGCAGAUGCCAUAGGAUGGCUUAUGUUGGGGCCGAUGGACGAAGGAGGAACCGGAGGAGGGAGGGCGUGAAGAGAAACACGCACAAGCACACAAGCACACACAGAUUUACCCAGGUUCGGAGCCCUCUUGCAGAGAUAAGACUCCUACUCCUGCUUUUUUGUAUAAGCCGAGAUAGCAAGAUCUACAAUGGCCCCCUUGAGCUGUAUUCUUGAGGAAGAAGAAGAAGAAGAAGAAAUAGAAGAAGAAGAAGAAGAAGAAGAAGGGGAAAACCCUAAAUGUCUAAGUGAUCCGAUCCCUCUCCUGAGAGGGGUAGUGCUCUAUUUAUGGACCGUCCAUGUCACACUGACAUGUGGGUCAAGGGCUAACGUUAUCUUCUAAGGGCCCCGUCGGGCACGCGCCUUGGUUCCCUCCGGGUGGCACUGCAGGGGACAAGACAACUUUACUUUUCCUGGCGCCCUGCAACAAGUACAGCAGUCGUCUGCCGGCUUCCGUCACUGAUUCUCUUUCGGUGCUUCUGUGCGCAGUCGCCUGGCACCGCGACAUAAGCGGCGACUGCUUUUCCGUGAUAAAGAGAGCACUUGGUUUACUUUGCGCCAUGAGAUAAGGAUAAGACCGUUGAGCCAUCUCGGCGGUGGCCGAGAUCAGAGUAUCUGUCCUUAUCCUGCAAUCUCAUAAGACAAGAUAGUCAUGCCAGCAUAUACUUGGUAUGUCGGCUUAGCAUUAGUCCGACUUUAGGAUGCCGGCGUACAUGCCUGUGCCGGUUUUGUCUUCGUCAUCUCGGCUAAUGUGUGUCGUCAUGACCCUAUCCGGGGUUAUCCCUCCGGCAAACAUAGCCUAUGCUGAAUAAAUUAGCUCAUGUUUAGUGGGUUCAUUGGUGUUGUGUUGUAAUCAUGCACUGGGUUGUUUUUUCCUAUGUGUUCUUGCUCUGGCAAGUUGUAUUGCCCCUCGGGAUUCCUUUUGGAAAUAAAAAAAUACUCUGUCAUACAUAGUGUCAAAAUCAGAGACCAUAUAUCACGCACUUAGGAAAAUAUAUGACGAACUUCAUCAAUCAUCAACACUAGUUUCCAACGAGAAAGAUGCCAAAGAUGAUUACGGAAGAGAUGAAUAAGGCGAAAAUUCAGCGCUUACGGGUUUAGGCUUUGGGGGUGUCACGGUAGUCGCUGGUCAGUGGGCAAGUUCAUGUGGCACACGCGAUGGGGUGUGGCUGAACUAUGACGUCCAGAUAGUCACCGAAUAAUCUUGGACAAUACUGCACUAAAGGGGAUAAUAUCGAAUACGAACACAUAUUUGUAAAAUUGUAUUCGCAUACGUAUCCGCCACAACUAUCCAUAUCCGUUUUCACAUCCUGACGGAUAUCUGCAAAUAUUUUCCGGAUGAAUAUCCGGGACCCUUCUAUCGAACGGUCAAGCCGGAAAUUAUCCGUUGUUCGGCCACUUGUCUGUAUUUGGGUAAUUAGGGAUUGUGGCGCGCAUGGAAGAAAAAAAACCCGAGAGAAAUUUGGCAUGUGAGAAGGUUUCUGCGAAAUUCCAAAUGAAUAGUGCGUGAUGUAUUCUAGCGCGUGAUGAAGAGCAGAUGUGUGGGAAAGGUUCACAGAGAUCAAAGUUGGAGAUACUACUGUCAAGGCUAACUGCAACCAUUGUGGCCUUGAGCUUUGCUGUGAUUCGAAAAUCCACGGUACAUCCUCGUUGAGAUCUCACUUGAAAAGGUGCAAAAGUAAUCCGGACAACUAAUAAGCAAAGUAUACUUUGCAACCGCAGCCAAAUCAGAAAUCAGGGGUAGAAGUUACUGAAGCAGAGCCUGAGGCGCCCUACAGCCAACGGGAAAUUUCUAGGUGAGGGCGUAGAUGCCUACCCGGUUAUCCAAUAACGUGUGUCUUCUGAUCUUUUGAAUAAAUGCCAAUUUUAUUACUUGAAUAGACUGCCAUUGAUUGGUAUUGUUAGUUAGCAAGUGUGUCGCUUGUGUAACCGUUAUGUAUCUGGUACUACCUCUGUUUCAUAAUUCUUGUCUCAAUUGUCUAAAUAUGAAUGUAAUUUAUUCCUAAAAAGUGUCUAUACAUGUAAUAUUUCGACAAGAAUUAUGAAAUGGAAGGAUUAUUUGAGUAUCAAUAAAACUUGCCAUGGCAUUUUAUCAAAUAAAAAAAGUUUCUGGUAUUCUGCACAGCCUUUUCUCUCUUUUUUUUGAACUGCAGUUUUUUUUUCUCUUGAUUUCAUAUUCAGCAAAUUUUAUGACAUGUCAAAUACUUCGAAUCAACAUCUUCCAAUUUUCUCAAACUUUUAGGUAAAAAAUAUUUCUUGUUGCGGUUGUCCUACAAGUUAUAUGAGCUGAUGUGCACAAAUAUUCUAUCACGUUCAACACUGUUGGACAUGAACAAACCACGCUCUUUUAAGUUGCACAAUGGACUCAUCUUGAGACAGAUACAACCGCGAAUUUUAUUGUGGAUUUGAUGGUUAAAAAAACGACUGAAAGAUAAAAGUAGUGGAGGUAAUCCUGCACUGGUAAAACUGCAUGAAACGUAUUCCCUCUGUCCCUAAUUAAUUGGCGUCGGUCUUUUUCAAAGAAAUUUCUAUAAAUUUUCGAAAUAAACCUGCAGUCCACAUAUUUCAAUUAAACGUGAACUGCGUGUUAAUUUUGAAAAUUUAAAGGAGUUUUUGCAAACUACACUAACAAAAGCGGUCUUGGAGAACAAAAGAGUACAACAAAAAGGAAUAAUUAAGCGAGAACUAGUACGGACAAGUCACAUGUCUUCGUCGCUGUCGUCGUCGCUCUCGUCCAUGAUGGCCUGGAAGUAAGCCGAGUUGUCGACGGACUCGACGAAGCCCUUGGACUCGUACUCGCUGCGGACCCAGGCCUGGAGCCUGAGGUGGUGCUCCCAGUAGAGCUCGAAGCCGGCGGCCGUCCGGGCGUUCGACGGCGGCGGCGUCGGCUUCGUCGUCCUCGCCAGGAUCUGGUCAAUCAUGGCCUGCGGCAUCCUGGUCAGCUUCCCGUCCGUCACCGGAACCGCAGCCCGACGGCCGGAGGAACGGCCCUUCUUCGGCUCCGCCUCUGCCUUCCGUUUGGGGCGCCUCUGAUGCCCGCCCUCGGUGGCGGUGGACUCCUUCUUCGGCGGCGCGGUCGAGCCCUCCAUGCCUUCGAUCUGGGGUUAAUUCGAUAGAGGCGUAGAGCUCUCGUGUCGAUGGCGACGAUGGGUACCAAGGAGGCGGUGGCGCGGGCGUCGCCUCGAUAUAUGAAGGGGGCCAAGGGGGCUUUCUUUGCUCCUGCCGGGCUCGGACUCCAGCUCUACUCGGUCGACGCGUUCUCUGCAAUUCUUACGGGAGGCCCGCGUAGUGGUGUGUUGAGUUCUGAUCGGAGUCUCCGGUCCACUCAUAAGGCCUAAGGCCCAGCCUUAUUCCUCGAGUUUGCGGCAUAAGGCCCAGCCGGCCGGCCGGCCCGCUUAGUGGCCAUAUCACUUUGCUCUCUUUGCUAAAAAAAAACUCACUUUGCUCUCAACUAAAUCUAUACUAACACAGACCAUAAUCUGAGGAGGAAAUAGAUACCUCAAUAGCACUAUUGUACAUCCAUAGAUUUGAUAUUUUUACACAGACCACAAUUAAUGAAUCUUUACAAGAAAAUGUAUAAGUAUGUACUCCCUCCGUUCCAAAAAAUGAUUUUCACGAUGUUUGAACUAUAGGGAGCACUGCAUCCCGGGAGCCUUUUCAGGUGGUUUCAAGAGCGGGCGUGGUCUCUUACCAUGUGGAUCCCUCCUUCGGCAAGGCCGCCGCCGCCGCGGCAUGCGAUGCCACGCGUGGCGAGUGGGUCCACGACCCCAGCGUGCGCCCGUACUACACGGACAUGACGUGCCCCUUCAUCCAGGACUACCAGAGCUGCAUGAGGCGCGGCAAGCCUAGAGUCUCAAGUUUCUGCGGUUGAGGGGCCGAGGGGGCGACCCGGCGCCACCGGCGGGGUGGACGCGGCUGGCUACGGCGAGGUCGCGCGCUUCGACGCGGCGCGGUUCUCCAGCUAGUGCGGGGGAGGUCGAUGAUCGUCUUCGUUGGGGAAUGACAACGAGCCUGCGGCAGAUGACAGGGCCGCUCCCGCCUGCCCCGCUCCCGAUGUGGCGGAUGAGGAGGAGCCGCGUCGCGCCACCUUGCCGGGGAGCUUCGCAGCAUCACCACGAGCCACCCUGUGGAAGGAAUCCGCCUGAGGUGCUUUGAAUCGUCGUCGCGAGUCAUUCUUCUCCAACUCCGACCGGCUGCCGAUUGAGAAAUCCCCAUCGUCUCCCUCUCGUCCCUUCCGUGAGGGAUCGCUGCAUCGCCCUCCUCUAAGAAGCCAUGGUGCGCCACCAUGUCUGGCCACCGCCGACGUCGAACGCCUGACGUGCGCCUUGUGUUAGAAACUAAGCUCUUUAGAUUAAACAUGAAUAAACACCGGUCAACAUUAGAGCACUAAGACAGAGAGAUUAGGGUAGAUUAACCAUACGUCUGAGGGAGGAGGAAGCCAUCGCCUUGGUUGCUGUAGCUGUUGCCGUAGGACGGAGGUAGCGGCACUGACCGAUUAACGGAGUGGACGUCCUGGUCGACGGCCUUCCUGCAGCUUCAGCGCUCCCUAGAUCGGUAGGGCUUACAGUCGUGUGUUGAGGUCUCACGUGAACUAGAGUAGCCCAUCGUGAGGGCAACGUUUCCUUUAUAUGGUGCUGCGCUACAGGGGGCCGAAACCUACAGUUGGUAAGUGCUCCCGAUCAGGGCGUGAUUUAUGGGGAUAAAUGCCGGAACGUUGGUUCUGGGCAUUUACCUCAUCAAAUCGCUAAAUCAACGCCCUUAACUGUGGGCGUGAUUUAGGGGCUUUAAAUCCGGUAAUAAACCAGAUUAACCAACACCUUGUACUAGUCUUCCCGAGGCCGACGGGGCUGAUUGUUGGAAGUACUCCGAGCUCCACCACUGUCGUCCUCGUCGUGCAGCAAGAACUCGAUGACGCAGCACCUCAAGGCGUGCCCGGCUGAACAAGUGGCUAUCCGUGUAGAUGCCCAUGGCCAGCAGCCCCGGCGAGCAGCACUGCAGCAACAUGCUGAACGCCGUGAGGAAGCCGCCAAGCUUUGGCUUCGCUUACUACUCGCAACGCAUACCAGUACUCCCUCAGUUCCAUAAAUAAUUCUUGUCUCAAAUUUGUCAAAAAAUAGAUAUAUCUAUUUCUAAAAAGCGUCUAGAUACAUGUAAUAUUUCGACAAGAAUUCUGGAACGGAGGGAGUACCAUUCUUGAGAGAAUCAGGAAAUAAUUAGGAUACCCAGAACAGGGAUUCAGUGGGGGCCAAGGGGAUUUUGAGCAGGGGGAGGGGAAAGAAGGAGAACUGCGGGUGCAAAAGGUAUAGAAGCCAGGGGUUUCCUCAAAAAACGGAAAGAAGGACGCCUGGGUAGCAACGGGCAGGGCGAAGAUGUCGCAGUGGAUCUCGCCGGAUCUAGGGAAGAACGGGGUGGUGGAAAUGGGAGGGUCCGGGGAAGGCGUCGGGCGACAAUGGGCAGGCCGGAGACGAUGGAUCUCGCCAGAUUUAGGGAGGAUUCUUCGGGGAAGAAGAUGGGUCCUCCCGUCUAUUCUUCUAUGUAGGUGAGCUCUUUUAUUUUCUUUUUUCUGUUUAGAGCCAGGAACCGGUAUCUAAGUGGGCACACGUGGGCAAGGUGGUAGAAGUGUGCGAAUUCAGCCCAAAACCGAGCGGAAGGGGUCGGAAAUUGGAUGGAGGUACUCUUUAGUGUUGGCAAUACCGGUUAGAAUUGGAGAGGAAUUCCAGUAUUCAAUUCUUUCUUAUACCAUCCAAAUAAAAGAAUUGAAAGGAACCAAUUGCGCCAAUUCCGAAUUCCGAGGCUGAAUAUACUCCCUCCGUGCCGAAAAGAUUGGCAUGGCAGGUUAUUUUGCAAAAACACCCUCACCUUUUAUUUGUAUCAUCCCACACUCCAUUUCGUCAAAUACCAGCAAGGCAGAAACCUCUUCGUCUCCUCCACCUCCCUCUCGUCUCCUCUGCUCCCUCUUUCUCCCAAACGACUUUGGCCCCUUCCCUCAACCUUUCUCUCGUAUCCUCCGUUUCCACCUCCAAGAAGGCCGGAUCUGGGGUGGCAACGCGAGAUCCGUUGGCGGAGAGGCAGAUCCGGUGGCGGCGACGCGAGAUCCGUUGGUGAGAGGCGGAUCCGGGGGCAGCGACGCGGGACCCGGUGGCGGCAAGGCCACCGCGCCAUGGCCUUGGCGACGUCGCUCCGCCACCUCCUCGCCGCGCCCUGGCCUUCGCGCCCCAUCGCCGACCGAUCAACGUCCCCACAAGAAAUCGCCCUGCUGUCCAUGCUUGUUCCACCGCACCAUGGCCUUCGCGGCUUCGCGCCCCACUGGGGCGGGCGCCUCUCGUCCGCGGUUUCUGUGCCGUUGCGCAAGCGGAUCUUCGGCCACGGAUUUGGGGAUUUGAUCUGGGAUUUGGGAUUGUGGAUGUGUGUAAUAUUCUGAAAAGUGUAGGACUUAAUUGUAAAGUUGUCUUCUGAGGUCGUGCCAGUCUUUUCGGUGCCAGUCUUUUCAGUACGGAGGGAGUACAUCCAAACGGGCUGAAAUGUAUUUCUUUGGGGUUUUGAUGAUCUCAUCAUGAUAUUAGCAUUUUAAUUUGGAGUCUAGAUUAAAUACAUAUAUGGGAUUUUUAUAAAAGAAAAAAACUGGGACGUCAUGUCCCUACCUCUCAUUAGCAUUUUAAUGCUGGCGGCUGUGCUUAUGCCCAUGGCGUAGGUCAAGGGUUUUUGGCCGGAGGAAAUUAGGAUCAAAUUAUUAAAUGGGGUCAUUUGUGGCUUAACUUGUGCUAAAUGGUGUAAAAAAACGAAAAUCUUACUAAAUGCGGUCAAAACUGUAAAAAAAUUGAAACUUGAGGGUCAAAAAUGAAAUCCACUCGCAGUUUGAUUCAGAGUCUACUAGAUUAAAUACAUACUUCCUCCGUCCAACAAAUGUUGUCUUAACUUUGACUAUAUUUGAAUGCAUCGAUACACUAAGUCAUGUAUAGAUACAUCCAAAUUUUGAAAAAUUUGAGAUCACUACUACAGAAACGGUUAUCAGUAACGGUCGAAAAAUCAUAUCAGUAACGGUCGGGGUCGCCGUUACUAACUUCGUGUUACUGAUGAUACCCAUCAUCAGUAACGGUCGCUCGGACCGUUACUGAUGUACAAUCAUCAGUAAAGGUCGCACUGACCGUUACUGAUGUAUAUAUACAUCAGUGGCAGUUGCUCCUCCCGAACCGUUACUGAUGUAUAUAUCAUCAGUAACGGUCUCGACCGACACUGAUACAUUUUCGGUAUUUAAAAAAAUAAUUAAAAACACAGUAAAUACACAACAAAUUAUAUACAGCACAACAAAUUAUAUACAAAAUGUAUCUCAUCACAGAAAAAUGUAUCUCAUCGCAGAAAAAUACAUAUAAAGCCGCAUCACAUCACAUCAGAUCACAUCACAUUCACAUCAUUUAAAGCAUACAAAUGUAUAUAAGCCGCAUCAUAUAAAGCAUAUAAAGAAUACAAAUGUAUCUCACUUCAAGACAUUGAUUACAAAGUGUCAAAAUUUCGUCGAAGCAUAAUUACAAAGUGUCAAAAUUUCAUGGAAGCAUAUAAAGAAUACAAAUGAAUCUAUUGUCGUGGGUGAACCCUAGACACGACUUGUUCCACGCGUUCGAAGAAGUCCCCACUAGGCUUGAUGACCUCAUUGUUUAUGAGAUGGGCAAACUCCCUUUGAAUGUUAUAGACGACCCAUUUAGGUCGGUGUCCCAUUGUCAUUCGGGGCCGCAGUACUCUUCCAUCGCCGCGACUGACCCCUUCCACUCAGGCUUGAACAUGCUGGCAUUCUCCAUAAAGAUGUGACAGCAGUAGUAGCCACAAAACACACUGCCAGGUGGCUGUUGCUGGCAAGGGAACCUGUGGUUGUGGGGAGGCUCGUCUUUAUAGCCUUUACCAGCUAGUUUUCCCUUCGUCGCCACUUUCCAAGCAGUGUUAAUGAGUGAUUUAAUGAGUUUCCAGAACCUACCUCAAACACCCUUCUCCGGAAGUCGUGAAUCAAAGUAGUACACCGCGGACCAAAGCACACAAAUGAGUAUUGUCACCCAAUGGUCUCUGUUUUCAAAAGAAACAAACUUUAGUAUCUAAGGGUGUAUAAGAAAGACUGAAUUAGAAAAAACAAACGGUUUCAUAUAUAAAAUUGAACUUACUCCAAAUUAAGGAAGAAGAGGAUGAAGUCGUCGUCCGCGUAUUUCUCGACACAUGCCACCAAGUAUUUAGAUGCCAUGGUUCUUGAGGCAUCCUUUUCUGGCUCAAGACCGAUAUCACCGUAGUUGAACAGCGCGGGGUCUAAAAUGGCUACUUUUUUUUACCUCCAAUCGCCGCAGUUCUCUUAUUUGGUAGGCCGACCACAGCCUUAAGAGGUUGAUAUCAAGCUUUUGGCGGUUAAAGAGGUGGAAAAGUUCAUUGAAACUCCACACCAACUGUGAUAGGACGUUCCUGAAUGUUCUCGGUUUCUUGGUCAAAGAAGCCAUAGUCUUUUGGGAUUCUAACAUUGAUCUGUUGGGCAUGCUGUUGAGAACCAGCUCAUGCUUGCAUGUAGAACUGAUGAAGCUCUUGCAUCUCUCUGGACACGGCACGCAGGGAAUCUUCGGUGACCAUCGGUCUUCCAGGAUAGUAAAGAAGCACCCGGUCGAACUCCCUAGCCACGAAAUAGGAUCCGUCUUCGAAUCUCUAGCCUUGAUAUGGGUUCUUGAUGAGAAUGUCAGGCCUACUGUCCUCCUAGACUCCAGUUAUGUCAGGCACAUGAUGCAUCUCAUCUUGAGUGACAUUGGAGAACUCCUUGAUGGUCUUGCCGCCGCGCCUCCUCUUUUUAUGCCUCCUCUUACUGUCCCAUGUCUUCUGCUCCUCUGCCUUGUACUUGUCAUUGAUCUUGCGGCCACCCAUGGACUCAGCGGCACCCAAGAGAGAGAAGGUGCGAGGGAUGCUUCCAGCCUGUGCCGACCCUGUGGUCUGGCUAUCUUUGAGCUGUGCAGGCAUCGACAUUGCCCGCUCUUCAUCUCCCCCGGCAUCGACAGGAGGAAGUAUCCUAGGGGAAAGGCCGAGCGGCGAAUGAGAAGUACCUUUCUGGGCGGAGGGAGAUGGAGUCAUAGAGGGCCGGCGCUGGUUGUAGAGAGAUACAAAGCUCCUAGGCCACAUAAUUCGGUAGUUUGGACAAGCGCCUAGGAUAUCCACGCCUUCCUCCGGAGGUAGCGGGAUAGCAUAAUCUCGAUGGUCGUCGACGACGGAGUCCACCAUCACACUCACUUGUGCGUCGUUCAUGAGAAUGCCGUGCACUAGUGGCGGUGAUUGUCUGGGCAUCAGGCGGCCAAUGGCGGCUACAGGCUUCCCACGCUUGUCAACCUGGAUACGACACUUCACCGGUGCCUGCGCGUAACAAGAAGAAGGCAUAUGUGUGUAAGAUCUUUAUUCAUGAAGGUAAGGAGUGAAAAAGAGUUUGAAAAGCUUGCUUACAAGGAUGUUGUUGCUCGGACCCGGAUCGUUAUCUCGGCUGCCCUCGCUUGGGGAAGGUUGGCUAGCGGGGGCGUUGUCCAUGCUAGGAGCCGGGCUGUAAGCUGGGGUGUAGGUGUCUUCGUCCUCCAUACGUGUGUCGGAGGCGGCGCUGCUCUUCAGCGGGGGAAGAGGAGGAAGAGGAGGAAGGAGGUUCCUCAAACCUUCCACUCCUCCCUGGAGUAUGGCGCCAAGGGCGGGGUGGUCUUUGGCCAAUGCCGACACCAAAUGAUGGACGGCUUGCACUGCAUAUUCCCGUGACACCUCUUGAGACACGAUAGAUGCAUGCUCUCGUGCCACCGCCUUAGCUUGUUCUAUUAUCUCAGAAGAAGCAGGGAGCUUUUUCUGGACCCUGCUUCGCUUCGGAGCAGGCGGGAAAUAAUCAUCCUAGCAGGCCCCUUCGCUUUCUCCUAGAACACGGUCUGUGUGCUCUGCCUUUUGCAAGCCGGCGGUCAUAGCCAACUCCCACCUCUUGCUCUGCACGGAGUUGUCGGAGGUUUUUGACCUCUUGCUCUCCUCCCAUUUGUGCUCCGUUUUCCCAUUGAACCUUUCCUUGUCAUCCCUCCAAGGGUCUUUAACAUCCAACCACUUUCGGUGGUCCAUGUACACAAUUUUGGAUGAAGCGGGCAACUUCUCCGAUGUCGUGUUUUCCCCGCACUUUGUACAUGCCUUGUACCCAUGUGUCACUUGGCAUGAAGUAUUUCCAUUCGCGGUGUAGUCAUGCACGCAGGUCAGAAGCGCUGCUCUCAUCGUGAAGUACUCCCUCAUGUUUGCGUCCCAAACCACUCUGCCAGGGUUCCAAAGCUGCUUCAGCUCAUCCUUCACUAGCUGCAGAUACACAUUUAGGUAAGCUCCCGGCUACUUUGGACCCUGUAUGAGCAUGCACAUGUGGAUGUAUUUUCUCUUCAUGAUUAACCAUGGAGGAAGGAUGUAGACAAACAAGAUCACUGGCCAUGCGCUGUGCUUGUUGUUCAUGUUUUCGAAAUGAUUUAUCCCGUUAGUGCUGAGACCAAGCCUCAGGUUUCUGGGCUCUGCCCCGAAAUCCGGAAAUGCCGUGUCGAAGUUCCUCCACUGAGUUCCAUCGGCAGGAUGUCUUAGGACCCCAGAUUCCUCCACACGGUAGUGCCCGUCAGGAUCGAAUGCAGCCUGCGCCGGAUCGUGAUGGACGAGAUACCUCGCGUCCUUAACGUUUUGCAUCCAACGUUCAAUUCGGCCACCUGCCGUAAGAUACUAGACAGUCUUUGCCGGCCUGCCCUUCAUCACUUCUUCCCCAUCAUCUUCGCCAGCUCUGGCGUUUUUCUUCUUGUAUCUCGAUGCACCGCAUAUGUGGCAGCUCUCAUGGUUUUCGUACUCUCCAAUGUAUACCAUGCAGUCAUUUGGACAUGAAUGAUGUUUCACGCAAUCCAAUUCGAGCGGGCAUGUAUUCUUCUUCGCCUCGUAUGUGCUCUUGGGCAACUUGUUUGGCUGUGGAAAAACCGAAGCAAGGUAACUCAACAAGCCCGUGAAGCCCUUGUCUGACCAGCAUGAUGCUGCCUUCAGCCUCAAAAGUUCGAGCGUCACUUCGAGCACGUUGUUUUCUUCACCAGCUUCAUCAUACAAGGGUGUGUUUGCGUCCUCCAACAAUUUUUUGAACUGAGCAGACUCUGCCUCAUCUUCGGGGUCUUCCAGCUGCUCCCGUAGGUACGGGUCAUCUAGCAUUUCGGCAAUCUUUCCACGUGGAGCUCCUUCACCUUCCACAUUAGCCUCCUCAUCGACCCUUAUUUCUUCCUCGGAAUCAUUCGCCAGAUCAUACAGCAGGACAUCAUCAUCUUCGCUACCGCUACAGACAUCAACCGCAUCCUCCUCGUGACAAGUCCAGCGAGAAUAACCAUCCACAAAACCCGAUGUCAGCACGUGCAUCUGAACAUCUUCAGGCUUCAUCAUGCAUGUGUUUCCACAUUUGCGACAUGGGCAACGCAUCAUCAAAAGUCCUUUUCGUUCCAUAUCACCUUUCACGACUCUAAAAAAGACCGUCCAUUCGGUUAUCCAUCGAGCAUUGAUUCUUUCCUUGGCGUACAUCCAAGAACGGUCCUUCGAUCUACAGCACAAUACACAAGAAAACAAAAAAACAAAAUAGUUAGCCUAAUCAUUGACAAGGAGAUUAAGGUGCUAAUUAACCAUAGCUAACUAAAAAUUUGAAAUUAGAGACAUUCGUAGAGAAAUUGGAGGCCGGCGAGAAAGAUUGGGAGGGAGAGAGAGCUCGCAAGCGAGAGGGAAGUUCCGGGCGACGACGAGGAGGCCGCAUUUUGGCCGGCGGCCGCGGAACUCAAAAAUUUGAAAUUGGGGAAAUUUGGAGAGAAAUUGGAGGCCGGCGAGAGAGAUCGGGGGGAGGGGGGGGGGAGAGACAUCGAGAGGGAGAGGGAAGCUUAGGGGUCGAAGAUCGGAGCUCGCCGGCCAUGGAGGCGGCGCCGCCAGCGCGGGGGGAGGGAGGAGGAAGUGGGAGGGAGGAGGGACUACCUGGGGGACUCGCCGGCCGCCAUGGCGCGGGCGGGCAGCACCUCGCCGUCGCCGGAGAGGAAGGGGCCACAGCUGGUCCGUUACGACGCGCGGUGCGACCAGCUGCGGCUCCGCCCGGCGUAUUUAAAACGCGACGAACAUCAAUGUCGGUCGGGGUUCUCGCGACCGUUACUGAUAAUCGUGUACACACCGACUCGACCGUUACUGAUGCAUGGUUCAUCAGUGGCGGUCGUCUCAUAACCGACCGUCACUGAUGUUACUCGCGAGCUAUGAGUGUACAUCAGUGGCGGUCGGUUCCCGCGACCGCCACUGAUGUGUCGUUGGCCGGAGACAGGCGGUGCCCGCUCGGUUCAUCAGUAACGGUCGGGGCCGCGACCGACACUGAUGUUUUUCAUCAGUAACGGUCGUGCCGGACCCGUUACUGAUGUGACGUUGCAUAUAGACCGUUUUGUAGUAAUGGAUAUCUUUUGUUGGACGGAAAGAGUAUAUGAGAUUUUAAAAAAAAAAACCUAGGACGUCAUGUGCCCUACCUCUCAGGCUCUCAGCAACGCCAUCACCCGAUUUUCUUUCUCAAAACCUUGUCCGCCCCACAUGUCAGGCAAAGAGGAAACAACGUUUCAAGGAGCGGGACAGCGGCGCGUUUCCAGAAGUUUAAACUCCGGUUACGGGUCGGGUUCUCGGGCUCAGAGCCUCAGACCCUGUAUAACUGCUACUAGCUGGCCCCUCUAGAACCGACUCGAACCUCACCAGGACAAAAGCAGAGCCGCGCCGACGCGUCCCCGCCGGGAGCGCCCAUCUCCGCCGCACCGCACGGCCCGGGUGCUCAUCUCGCUUGCCGGCGUUGGUGCGUGCAAGCGUCCGGCGAGAAGCGCAUGGCUCGCCUGCAGAACGAACCGAGACGAUUGCUCGGCGCGGUGCUCCUCCAGCAUGAGAAAGGAACGGGCCUGGAGGAACAUGCAUGUGCAGAGGAGACGGGGCAGUGAGGUGGGGGAUGGCGCUCUUGAAUCAACUGCCGGCCGAGCCCACGCAGCUUGCUGAACAGCUGCUGCACUUCUGAGACCGGCUGGCCCAGAUCGCGGAGUUGAUCGGUGUAAGACUUGAGCUUGGACGCUUGGUGCAGUACUGCAGCACGGUGAGUUCAGCCAGUGAUCGACGCAGUGGUCGGCCAUCACCCACCCAUUCUCGGUUUUCGAGCUGCUGCAGCACCGUCGAGUCGAGGCCGUUUGCAGCCCGUGCAUGCCGAUGACGGUACUUGUCGAAGAACCGCCGAAACUGGGAGUAGUUCCCGGCGGCCAUGUCGAUGACCACGGGCACAUGGGUGCGAAUGUCCACCCCCUGGAGAGACGAAGCAAGGAUGGCGACCGUUGCCGGCGCAGCAGCUGCGGCACGACUGGUGCGCAGUGGCGAGCCUUGCAAGAAGCGAGAGAAGGAUCGAAGAUCGGCAAAAGGGUUGAGCAGAAAUUCCUGCUGUGAUACCAUGAAGCGAGAUAGAAUUGGAUUCUCAACUCCUUUUCAUUGAUACAACGGUUAGUACAUAUUGUCGAGCACCUUACGUGCACAACGUGGACGAGGACAUUAUCUCAAAACUGAAGGCUACGACGACCAGACAUGGCAUGGACAGAGUCCUGUACAAGCCUACGGCACACAUAUUGAUAUAUACUCAACAGUAAAGAGGUAAAAUAGCGUACAUGCUUCACAGAUGACCAAGUGAGGAUGUCAAUUCAUAACUGUUCAAGCAGUACAGUAGUGUAUAUAUAUACGUAGCUUCUCAGGUGGGAGAGCAAUAUCAAAAUUUCCACAACGCUGUUCUGAAAACUAAUGAUCAACUCAGACAGAAGUACCAACUACAUCAAGAAGUAUAUCAACUCACACAGAAGUACCAACUACAUCCUUCAUCUGAGAAAUACCCGUGCUAUCCGUUGUUCACCAAUACUAAUAUCCACAGAAACCCUGCAUGUUAAAUCUGAUUUGCCGAAGUCAUCUACAGACUAUCACUCAAGCCAAAACUACUGUCAACUCAGACAGAAGUAUCAACUAUGUAUACCAAGAAGUAUGAACUAUAGUACCGACUCAGAUAGAGGUACCAACUAAUUCCUUCACCAGAGAACAAUCAAUGCUACCAGUUGUUAACCAAGACUAAUAUCCACACGCUGAUUUGACGAAGUCAAAGACAAAAUCAAGCCAAAGAGACCUUGAGAUGGAAAUGUGAUGGGAUCACGGCAGGCGCGCCUCCGGCCUUCUCGAUGUCCUUGGAGAGCUGGACCGCUGCCUGUAAAUCCAUCUUCAUGUUGCGCUUUAGCACACGCACCACCUGGCCGUGACUGUACCGAUCCCGAACACGUGGAAACUGAACAAGCGCGUCAUGGAUACUUUCACGGGACCAAGCUAUGGAGUUCAUCAAUGCUACAAGCUCUAAGUUCAUCUCGUUGACAUCUGGUUUCUCAGAGAUAAGCGCCUCAUCAAGAACGAAUUCAGUCGGCUCCAAGAACUGCACACAAGGUAAUCUGCAUAAAUUAGCCAGUAAAACGUACAGAUCGAACUGCUAAGUGUGCAAACGGUGCAUAUUCUACAUAACACAGAUGAUUCUUGGAAUCUUGGGCCUAGCUUGUGCUUGCAGUUACUAGUACGGAGUAUUAAAACAGGAAGGUAAUAUGAAUUGUCAACAUGUACUCCCGUACAAACUCGGAUACAUGAAGGAUCCCCAACAGAGAACAGAGAUUAACACAGAGAUCGAAGCGAAUUUACACAGAAAUCAUCGAAUGAAGCACAUAUAAAGGCAUGUCAACUACUCGUUUAGGUGGAUUUAGAGCCUUGGAUCAGCAUCAAUGGACGGCUAGCUUCGAUCCUUACCGUAGAAAACCUCCGUGAGAAACCAGAGAGGAGAAAUCCUAACGAACAAGGUCGAGCGCGCGCACAGCGAAACGCGUCGUACAGAGAGGCAGACCGCAGAGCGAGGGAGGGAGGGGACAGAAAAUACCUCGUGCUCGUGAUGGUGGCCAGCGCCGGCUCGGAGCCCUCUGCCCGCGGCGACCGCACGUCCUCCUGGUCCUGGCCCGCCCGCGCCCGCGGGCUCGUCAUCGUCUCCGCCCGCGGCGGCUCCUCCUCGGGCGCCGGCGAGCUCGCCAUCUCCGCCGCGGGCUCCUCUUCGCGCGCGGCCGCCAGCGAGCUCGUCGUCGCCUCCGCGGCGGGCGGCUCCGGCUCCUGGCCCUCGUGCGGCCACGGCGUCUCCACGCCCGCCGCCUCGGCCAGCCGCCCCGCCGUCGCGCCCAGCAGCGCGCGCCGCCCUCCCCCUCCUCCUGGCGUCCAUCUCCUCGCGGGUGGGGUUUGGGUUUUGGUUUUGCACCGGGGAACGGGGAGAGAGGGGAUUGCGGAGGAACUGGGAGGGAACGGGAAAGAAGAGGGCGCCGGGGUAUUUAUAGGGCAAGCGCUACGGCUAGUAUUCUCCCUCAUUUAUUUUCUCUUCUGUUGCAGCUUUCUUUUUUAGCAUACGUGUACCAUUCAUAUUAAUUCAAAGACAAGUUACAAGACACAUACACAGCAGGAAGACACCAGGUCCCAAACGAAAAAAAUUACAAGUGUUUGUGCCCAAACCAACGAUCGCCGCCCAUCUCCGUGGUCGCCUUGAGAGAGAGGUAACCGAGACCAACAAACCCGAAUUCGACGCGGCUCCAUCGCUGCACAUCAGCUUUAUGGACUUCACAAGGAGAUCGCCUGAGGCAAAACCCAGGCUCGUCGGCCGGGGCCGCACCCCGAGCCUGCCGUCGAAUUCCAGAUCUAGUCCACCCCGUCGAGGAAAGAGGCCAAAUCCGCCAGCAUCACAUCAAGAUCCUAGCAUAGAACUUGUCGCCUUCCGGCACAUCGCCGGCACCGGCUCCUGGACCACCUCCGAGGCUCCACAACAGCUUAGGUGCACGCGCCAUCGCGAAGGCAGAACCGGUGGAACAGAUACCGAAACAAGGAUGCCGACACGCAAUCCCCGCACGGCGACCCCAGCUCCGGAUACAUCACCGACCAUGAAGAAGACAGCCACGUCAAGGAAAAAUCCCGAGCAAACUUAUUCAACGCCGCCACCAUCGUUAGCCGAAGAAACCACCACCGGACAGACGAAACACCCUAGCUACGAGGCCCUAAACCUAAUAAUCUUGAGCUUCUUGUGCUGAAAUUAUGUCUGAAUCUAGCCCAAGGCGGUGCUCCAUUAAAUUUAGAGAUAAGAGCACCCCUAAAGUAUAGGGUGAGCACCAGGAUUUGAACCCUGGUGGACGGAGUCCUACACCCACAAGUCCACCACCACACCAAGAAGUGUUUUCUAUCUCAAUGCUGAGAGUAGAAAUAACAACUAUCUCCUGGCACGCUCGCUUGAACUCUUCUCGGGUUUUAGCCCUUGGCUUGAAGAAGUCGCCGAAGCUUUCCAGCCAUUGUCACCCUACACAAGAUGAACUUGGGUCUUGUAGCUAGCAAACUUCUCCCAAGUGGCCCCUCGGCGGCCCUCGCCACGAUCGAGCAGAUGGUCUUGUCGACAUGCUCCUGCUCCGACAAGAACGGCUUCUUCGCUGCACCAUCAAUGAGAGAUUUUUUGCCUAGGGUUUUAACUUUAGUUUAAAAUUUAGGGUGACAAAAAAUUUUAGACCAGAAUUUUGGAAAUAAUUUCAGUACUAGUUCAAACAAAUUUCAUUGAAUUUUGACUAAAUUUAAGUUUGAUUUUAGUUUUGUUUGAACCUAGUCUGAGAUUUUGAGUUCAAAAUAUUUUGGUACCCUGGUUUGGGCUUGUGGGGAGCGCGGCAGCUAGCCGGGCCGGAAAUAUGCUAGGCUCUACUGGGUACAACUCAGGCCUGAGGUACAACAGUCCCAGUCAUCGUCAAGUCGUCAAGCAACAGGCGGCAAGGGAACAGAUGGACGCCCAGGCUUGCUGCACCAGCAGAGCAUCUGCUGCACGUAUAGCAAUAGCCGAGUGUGCCUAGACUUCCCAAGUGCUACAUUUCCGAGUAGGACGAGUUAGAGGAGUUGACCCUGAACCUGAACCACCACAGCCCACCACAGCUCAAAUAACGAUUUCAGUUUUUAUUAUUGCGCCUGCACACAAAACGAGCUUCAGGUGCUUUCUGCUCAAGGUGACAUGGACUGAUUUGGUAUGUUGAUGCCUCCAAACAUCUGAACAUGAUGAUUUCAGAAACAACUCUCAAGGAUAUGGAGGAUCCAAUCCAAUUGAGUAAAUUGUACAAAGACAAAUAUCUAGCGGCUCUUGUAACAAAAAACCACGAACCUAAAAGCUUUCAAUAGAUACCCACUAAUUGUAUGCUAAUGAGUAACAAAAAACCCGAAAGUGACCGGUUUGUCCAACUUAAUCGCCCGUGGCCCACAUGUCAUACAAACGAGCCUAAUUUCUGGAUCAAUAGCAAGGGGAACGGCUUGAGCCGAGAGACGAGCCGAGCCUGCUUAGGCUAUAACCUCCGAGGCUUCUUUCUUCUCCAAGCCCGGCAGGUGCGCCGCCGCUCCCGAUCCGCUCGACCGAAGCCUUCCCCGCGACCGUUCCAGCGCCAAGGGGUGAGCGUCGACAUGGCGAAGUUUCUCCAAUAGCCGUCUGCGUGUCUCCUUCACCGGCGCGUCCCCCGCCUCGGAGCUUCUCUGCCGGCCACCAUGGCGCGGGCCUCCUCCGAUGCUGCAACCUCGCCGAUACCGCCGCCAUCCUCUUCCCCUUGCUGGCGCGCACGUGGGGGCAAGAUCCGAACGUCGAGCCGCGCUCUGAGACCUCUGCGCCCCCCCCAUCUUCUUCCUCGUGGUCGUGGGAUGGCUCCGUCGCGGUUGACGGCGGCUAGGGCGGCCACGGCAAGGACCUCAACCCGCGCCCCCAUCUUCUUCCUCGUGCUCUGGCUGCAACCCGUGGAGGGGGCAGGGGCGGGGCAACCCGUGGAGGCGGCCAGGGCGGCUCGCGCGCUGGCUGGAGUUCGCCGGCAGCUCGAGCCGGCAGGUCGGGAGGAAUAAUUAAGCCAAAAAAUGGGUCAUGACUACGACAUGUGGGUCACGGCUUAACUUGGCCAAACCGGCCAGUUUCCAGUUUCGAGUUUUCUGCUAUUCAUUAGUCUUCAUGUCAUGGGUAUCAGUUGAAAUUUCCUGGGUUUGUGGUUUUCCAUUACAAGAGAUAUGUGUUUUUCUGCAAUUUACUCCAUCCAAUUUAUUCUACAGGCAAUAGACAGUCCAAUUCUCACACUGGUGAAUCACAGGCACAGCUUGAUUUCACUAGCACAAAGCGAAAUAUUCUUUUUUAAAUAUAGCGCUCAUUCAAUCCAUCAUAUCACCGGGAGGUCACACAGCAUGAUCGAGUCUCACAACAUCAAGGUUUAGGCAACAGACCAAAACUGCAACCAGUUAAGUGCUCAUUACACAUCCAUAGCCUAGGCGAAACACAUAACCAGUGUUCAUUCAAGAUUCAAACGUACUACAGUAAAGGAAGCAACAACCCAGC
rnacentral:lncRNA from 1 species